rnacentral:rRNA from 1 species
GUCUACGGCUGUGCCACCCUGAACACGCCCAAUCCCGUCUGAUCUCGGAAGCUAAGCAGGGUCGGGCCUGGUUACUACUUGGAUGGGAGACCACCUAGGAAGACCAGGUGCUGUAGACG